UCUCCAAGCUAUUAUCAAGGAAACCUUCAGAUUAUAUCCUGCUGCACCACUAUUAGUGCCACAUGAAUCCAUGGAAGAGUGUGUUGUAGAUGGCUACCAUAUUCCACCAGAGACACGCGUAAUCGUAAAUGCUUCAAAAAUUCAGAAAGACCCAAGCGUGUGGUUGGACCCUGAGAAAUUUCAACCAGAGAGAUUUCUUACCACCAAUAAGGACGUUGAUUUCAAAGGUCAAAACUUCGAAUUGAUACCAUUUGGCAGUGGAAGGAGAAUUUGCCCUGGAAUCUCAUUUGCUCUUCAAAUUUUGAACCUGACGCUGGCAACUCUGCUACAUGCAUUUGAAAUUGAAACUUCGUCAGACAGUCCUAUUGAUAUGAGUGAGUCAGCUGGUUUAACCAACGCCAAGGUCACCCCGGUGGAAGUUGUUCUUACUCCUCGCCUUCCUGCUAACCUGUACUAGCUAGAACCUACCUGAUAUGUAACAUCAAACUUAUUAUUAAGCUUUCCCAUUUGAAAAAUGUUGCUCCAUCCCUUU
rnacentral:misc_RNA from 1 species